UACGUAGGGGGCAAGCAUUGUCCGGAAUCAUUGGGCGUAAAGAGCGUGUAGGCGGUCCGGUCAGUCGGUUGUGAAAGUCAAGGGCUCAACCCUUGAAUGCCGGCCGAUACUGCCGGGCUAGAGUCCGGAAGAGGUGAGUGGAAUUCCUGGUGUAGCGGUGAAAUGCGCAGAUAUCAGGAGGAACACCGAUGGCGAAGGCAGCUCACUGGGACGGUACUGACGCUGAGACGCGAAAGCGUGGGGAGCAAACAGG
rnacentral:rRNA from 1 species